rnacentral:tRNA from 1 species
GGAAAGACUGUGGCUUAAUGGUAGAGCAUAUGCUUGACAUACAGAAGGUCCCAGGUUCAAAGCCUGGCAGUUCCA